rnacentral:rRNA from 1 species
GCUAAUACCGCAUAACGCCUACGGGCCAAAGAGGGGGACCUUCAGGCCUCUCGCGUCAAGAUAUGCCUAGGUGGGAUUAGCUAGUUGGUGAGGUAAUGGCUCACCAAGGCGACGAUCCCUAGCUGGUCUGAGAGGAUGAUCAGCCACACUGGAACUGAGACACGGUCCAGACUCCUACGGGAGGCAGCAGUGGGGAAUAUUGCACAAUGGGCGAAAGCCUGAUGCAGCCAUGCCGCGUGUAUGAAGAAGGCCUUCGGGUUGUAAAGUACUUUCAGUUGUGAGGAAGGGGGUGUCGUUAAUAGCGGCAUCUCUUGACGUUAGCAACAGAAGAAGCACCGGCUAACUUCGUGCCAGCAGCCGCGGUAAUACGGAGGGUGCGAGCGUUAAUCGGAAUUACUGGGCGUAAAGCGCAUGCAGGUGGUUCAUUAAGUCAGAUGUGAAAGCCCGGGGCUCAACCUCGGAACUGCAUUUGAAACUGGUGAACUAGAGUACUGUAGAGGGGGGUAGAAUUUCAGGUGUAGCGGUGAAAUGCGUAGAGAUCUGAAGGAAUACCAGUGGCGAAGGCGGCCCCCUGGA